rnacentral:lncRNA from 1 species
ACAAAAACAAAAACAAAAACAAAUUGAUCAUCUUUGGAGGCUAACAAUCAAUUCAUUAUCUAGAGACAGACAGAGGCUCACUAGUGGCACGAUCUUGGCUGAUUGCAUCUUCCACCUCCUGGGUUCAAGAGAUUCUUGUGCCUUAGCUUCCUGAGUAGCUAAGAUUACAGGCGUGAGCUACUGUGGCCGGCCACAUUUCCCUUCUGGUGCGCGUCCUCCUGUAGCUGUGGGAUCAGGGGAGGUAGAGAUGUCUUGUAACUGACUCAAGUUUGGCUGCUUGCCGCAGGAGAAGCGAGGUGUGGUGAAAGGAAAGCAACUUUUAUUCAGAUGCUAGCAGGUGGGAGAGUGGCCAGGCUCAAGGCUCUAAGGAACCAUCUCAGCUUUUUGGACUGCGUGAAGGGCUUUAGGAAGGAGAACUCGGUGUGGGAGACAUGUGGGAGUAGGGCAGUGGUGCAGGUGUCUUGAGUAAUUGCCCAUCCGGAGGUCUAGUUGGCAUCAUCUUGACCUUGGUCUGGUGGUGGUGGACUCAUUGUUCAUAACUCCCCUAGACAGGAGGAUUCCACAGCUGGGUUCUAUGCCUGGUUUAUUUAAAAAUGAGCCCCUGGCAUUUCUAAGCAGGCACAGAAUGAGAUAAGUGAGCACUGUGGCUGGUGGGAAAGGGAGGGAAACAGGUUUAAAGUAUGUUUCAAGGCUGCAUUCUGAGACUAGGAGGGAAAGGAAGAAAAACUUUAAAAUUCUUCUCAAGGCUGAGAUAUUUGACUACAGUCUCAUGCCCAAAAUGUUUCUAUUCUACACUGAGACCUGAUAGAUAAUUUGGCUGCAUACCUGGAGUCCAGUGUGUGCACCUGCCCCUCCCAUCCCAUACUCGCAGCCAGUGGAAAAGUCUGCAAAAGGAAGCCAGCUGGGAGUGCCCACCAGAGUCAAAGUCUGGGGCAGGCUGGUGGACUCAAGAGGAGUCUUAAAUAUUGGAAAUGUCAUCACAAACCAUCUGGGAAGCCCCCUCCUCUUAAAAAGGACAUAAAGUCAAAGUGAACAGGUGUGCUCACUCCAAGCCCGUGCCCACAACCACAGUGCCCUUCACAUUCAGAGUCAUGGCCACUAGCCACAAAAUUGUGACUUACAGUUCACAAAAUUGGGACAUAUUUACAUGUUGACUAAGUUGGGAAAUAAUUUGGAUUUUCUUUAAAAGUAGUAAAAGUAAAGAAGAAAAAGUCAAAAAGGUCUGACAUCUAAGAGGGUGAAAUUUCCUUACUUUAGAUCACAAGCAAUCAGGCUGAUCCCGCCUGAGCCCUGAGCUCCCUGGGACCCAGCAGCAGCUGUGCAUUGGCACGUGGUGCCCUGUGUCUGAUCAGCUGACUCCUCAGGCAAAACCUGCACCAUUUUCACCAGAAUUGCAGAUGUCCUCAGUGUCAUUACAAAGUUCCUAAGUCAUGACCAUUCUGUCCUGUGGAACCAGGCUGGACUAAGCUCCCAUUUCUUUAAGCCAUCCUGUCCCCUGCAGGGACUUCCAAGGUGGAGCUGAUGAGCAAUAGUUAUGAGUCAUUGGAGGAGACAUCCCAGAGGCGCCAGCUCCCCUCUGCCCUAAACUGAAAUUAAGACCUGGUGCUCUGGGUGGGGCCCCUGGAAGGGGAUGUGCAACUCAGAGGGGACCUUCUCCACCUCCACCCAGGAGACCCCAGAGGGACCAUGGCAGAGCCGGAGCCCUCUUUUUUUUUGUUCGUUUUUUAUUUUAUUAUUAUUAUACUUUAAGUUUUAGCCCUCUUUUAAAAACCAAAUGAAAAUAAGCAAAAGAAGCCAAUCGUCUCUGUGAAAUGUCCAGAAGAGGGAACUCUGUAGAGACAGAGAGGAUAUUAUUGGCUGCCGGAGGCUGGGAAUGGGAAGGUGAGGGGCCUGGGGAGGUGAUGGUUAAAAGAUUCUUCUUUGUGGUGAUGAAAUUGUCUUAAAAUGGACUGUGGUGAUAGUUGUGCAACUUGGUGAAUAUAUAAGUUAUUGAAUUGUACACUUUAAAUGGGUGAAUUGUAUGGUGUGUGAAACAUAUCUCAAUAAAGCUGUUAUUUGAAAAAUAAAUAAGUAAAUAAGUGAAGUCCCUGGGCUGGAGCCGGGGGGAUGCGGUUGUUCACUCUAGCUGCACUUGCUGUAGGCCCUGGGCAAGACCUUUCUGCACCCUGGCCCUCAGUUUCUCCAAUCUGGAACACGUGGGGUCGGCCAAGGUCUCCACAGGCCUUCUCCAGCAGUGUGUGACAGUGUGGAGUGCCUGCAGAGAAGGCACCUGGGUCUCUCUGAGGAGCAGAGAAGGGGACUGGGGCUGCAGGAAUGUGGCUUCACUGUGGGCUUGGGUAUCUGUGAGGUCCUGUCUGGGAGAAGCCUUCU